rnacentral:rRNA from 1 species
ACGGGAGGCAGCAGUGGGGAAUAUUGCACAAUGGGGGAAACCCUGAUGCAGCGACGCCGCGUGAGUGAAGAAGUAUUUCGGUAUGUAAAGCUCUAUCAGCAGGGAAGAAAAUGACGGUACCUGACUAAGAAGCCCCGGCUAACUACGUGCCAGCAGCCGCGGUACUACGUAGGGGGCAAGCGUUAUCCGGAUUUACUGGGUGUAAAGGGAGCGUAGACGGCGAUGCAAGUCUGAUGUGAAAGCCCGGGGCUCAACCCCGGCACUGCAUUGGAAACUGUGUUGCUAGAGUGCAGGAGAGGUAAGUGGAAUUCCUAGUGUAGCGGUGAAAUGCGUAGAUAUUAGGAGGAACACCAGAGGCGAAGGCGGCUUACUGGACUGUAACUGACGCUGAGGCGCGAAAGUGUGGGGAGCAAACAGGAUUAGAUACCCUGGUA